rnacentral:ncRNA from 1 species
UACUUUGCUAGGAAUAAUUUUUUUUAACUCUACUCUAAUAAUGCUUCACUCUCUAAAUAUGUUAGUUUCUCAACUCUAGAACUCUUAUUGUUUCCUUACUUACCUGAUUAAGUGGAACGUGUCUCAUUACUUAGCCACUAUAGGGAUACAUUUAUAUAUCUUAUAAUAUUGGGUUUUUUCUGAUCAAAGUACUAAAGAGUUUGUUAUAUAAUUGUAAACAAAUUUUAAUGAGAUUGUUUGGCAUUUCGGUGCUUAUUCAAUCAAUUCUCAGAAUUGAGUAUAACUCCCAAUACUCAGGUAUGAUCCGAUUUACGGACAUUGCUGGGUAGGGAGUUUGACUGGGGCGGAGACGUCCCAAGGUCAACUUAGUGCGGACAGAAACCGCAUAUGGAACAAAAGAGUAAAAGCUGACUUAAUUUCGGCGUUCAGUUCACAGAGGUACACCAGAAGCUCGGACUGUGGUUUAAGGAGCCUUUAACAAGAGUUGUCGGAAAAGUUACCACAAGGAUAACUGGCUUGUGGCGGCCAAACGUUUAUUGUGACGUCGCUUAUUGAUCCUUUGAUGUCGGCUCUUCCUAUCAUUGUGAAACAAAACCCGACGAACGUUGAAUUGUGCACCUAUUCAAGUAAACGUGAGCUGGGUUUGGGCCACCGUGAGACGGAUUAGUUUCACCCUGCUAAUGACAAUGUGUUGCUGCCGCAGCAUUUCUGCGUAGAACGAGAGCAACCGCAAGUACGGACCAAUGGCGCAAUAUUUGUUUGAGCGAAAAGUGUUACGACGCUACGUCUACUCGUUUAAGCCUGAACGCCUCUAAGGUCGUAUCCGAGCGGGACUACAACAGUAAAGA